GUUAUAGGGACAAGCGAAUAAGUGCACAUGGUGGAUGCCUUGGCGAUUACAGGCGAUGAAGGACGUAGUAGCUUGCGAUAAGCUGCGGGGAGUGAGCAAACACACUUUGAUCCGCAGAUUUCCGAAUGGGGCAACCC
rnacentral:rRNA from 1 species